ACCCUCACUUGUGUAGUUUUGAUGUUUAUUUGUUAGAUUUCCAUGUGUUAUGAGUGACAUCUUUGUUUGCAGUUGGGACCUGUCAAAGACCGGAUCCAGAUACCAUAUCUGACGAAGAUCUUGAAAUUGACAUAGUUAAGGCAUGGUCAGAUUUAGACAAAUCCGUUGUAGCAGAAGGCCUCAUAUCAGGAACAACUGUGGCUAACCCAUACUCCACAUCCACUCAUCACUCAACUUUGGCACCCUGGAUGGGGCACCACACUCGAGUGGGAAAUAUUCUUCCCAAAACAGAAGUGAAAAAGGUCGAUUGCAGAUUUGUUAAACAGACUCCAGGAACUGUUAAACUUUAAGGACAUAUACCCAAAGCUUUUUCUAAAGCUUCAAAAAGCUGGUGGUGGUGUUCUUCACUUCUCUUGUAUGCAUGGUGUUGUGUACUAUGUUAACAUACUGUUUUGGAUGGAGUCUGCAAGAGAUCACGGCGAUGGGCUGUUGAGCUUCAAGUAUCUGCCUACCUGCUACAUUUCUGAUAUAGCAGGACAGGUUGCUCGCCACACCAACAACCGGACCAAACAGCGUUUUUUCCAACCACAUGAUCGAAGACUUUGUUGUCCAACACCAGAAAAUGUAGAGAAAGCGGCCCAGAAGGAGUUAAACAUUCAGUUGGAGUGGGUAAAUAAGCUGAGGUCUCCAUUGCCACAGCAUACAAGCAACAGUGUUGAUCGAAUGACAGCACAACAUCCAAUCACAGGGACAUGUGAAAGAUACUCUCUGUACGAUCGAUUUCACCAAAAAAAUCAGAAAAGACCAGAAGAGAAGCUGAGAGGUCUCAACAUUUGCCCUGACCUUAGAAAAGAGGUCAUCUCUGCUGUUGCAGAACAGUUCAAUCGAGAGCUUGCUUCUGUUAGAUACUCGCUGUGCCAAAUGACAGAAACCCAUUUUAAACAGACUUUGAGGGUCUUGAUUCAUCUGCAUAAUGACAAGAUAAACAGCCACUUUAAAAAAGAAAUGGAGGAGAUGUGCAAUGCCCAGCUGUCCGUUGGACUUCAUGGGA